rnacentral:ncRNA from 1 species
GUUGCCGGACGAAAGGGGGUGAGCGGUCCCGGCAACGGGGCGGGCGUAAAUGCUUUCACACAGAAUGGUAUCCGUCAAACUAAGCAGCCAUUCAUAUCUAACCGACUAGGGGGA